rnacentral:rRNA from 1 species
GUGGGGAAUAUUGGGCAAUGGGGGAAACCCUGACCCAGCAACGCCGCGUGAAGGAUGAAGGCCUUCGGGUUGUAAACUUCUUUUGGAGGGGACGAAUAAAUUGACGGUACCCUCAGAAAAAGCCACGGCUAACUACGUGCCAGCAGCCGCGGUAAUACGUAGGUGGCGAGCGUUACUCGGAAUUACUAGGCGUAAAGCGUAUGUAGGCGGUUGUAUAAGUCUAUGGUGAAAUUUCCUGGCUCAACUGGGAAGGGACAUAGAUACUGUAUGGCUUGAGUGUUGGAGGGGGAGACGGAAUUCCUGGUGUAGCGGUGAAAUGCGUAGAUAUCAGGAGGAACACCGAUGGCGAAAGCAGUCUCCUGGCCAAAUACUGACGCUGAGGUACGAAAGCUAGGGUAGCAAACAGGAUUAGAAACCCCGGUAGUCC